GACGAACGCUGGCGGCGUGCUUAACACAUGCAAGUCCAGCGGAGCGGCGAACGGGUGUGUAACGCGUGAGUAACUGCCCCCCUCUCUGGGAUAACAGUUGGAAACGGCUGCCAAUACCGGAUAAUGGGGGAUGACACGCGUCCUACCAGCUUGAUGGUGGGGUAGUGGCCUACCAAGGCGACGACGGGUAGCCGGCCUGAGAGGGCUACCGGCCAAAGUGGGCUGAACUACGGCCCUAACUCCUACGGGAUGAAGCAGUGAGGAAUAAUGCACCAUGGGAGAAACCCUGAAGCAGCAACGCCGCGUGCGGGGUUACGGCCUUCGGGUUGUAAACCGCUUACAGCCAUGACGCGGUGGUUGCAGAAGAGGCACCGGGUAACUACGAACCAGCAGCCGCGGUAAUUC
rnacentral:rRNA from 1 species